ACUACACGGUCGGGUGACGGUUUCCGAUUUCGGAAUGAAAAGGGAACGCAGUGCGGACCAGCCGGUCCCAUGCUGCGGCUGCCCCCGCAACUGUAGGCGGAUAGCCUUUGCCAACGGCCACUGGGUGCGACCCCGGGAAGGCGGCGACAGGCGACGACCCGCGAGCCAGGAGACCUGCCGUCAGCCGUUGUCACGCG
rnacentral:ncRNA from 17 species